rnacentral:rRNA from 1 species
UCAGGCCUAACACAUGCAAGUCGAACGGCAGCACGGACUUCGGUCUGGUGGCGAGUGGCGAACGGGUGAGUAAUGUAUCGGAACGUGCCUAGUAGCGGGGGAUAACUACUCGAAAGAGUAGCUAAUACCGCAUACGCCCUACGGGGGAAAGGGGGGGAUCGCAAGACCUCUCACUAUUAGAGCGGCCGAUAUCGGAUUAGCUAGUUGGUGAGGUAAAGGCUCACCAAGGUGACGAUCCGUAGCUGGUUUGAGAGGACGACCAGCCACACUGGGACUGAGACACGGCCCAGACUCCUACGGGAGGCAGCAGUGGGGAAUUUUGGACAAUGGGGGCAACCCUGAUCCAGCCAUUCCGCGUGUGCGAUGAAGGCCUUCGGGUUGUAAAGCACUUUUGGCAGGAAAGAAAUCGCACGGGUUAAUAACCCGUGUGGAUGAC